GACGUAGGGCGCGAGCGUUGUCCGGAUUUAUUGGGCGUAAAGAGCUCGUAGGCGGCUUGUCGCGUCGGCUGUGAAAACCCGCGGCUCAACUGUGGGCGGGCAGCUGAUACGGGCAGACUAGAGUUCGGCAGGGGAGACUGGAAUUCCUGGUGUAGCGGUGAAAUGCGCAGAUAUCAGGAGGAACACCGGUGGCGAAGGCGGGUCUCUGGGCCGAUACUGACGCUGAGGAGCGAAAGCGUGGGGAGCGAACAGG
rnacentral:rRNA from 1 species